ACGGGAGGCAGCAGUGGGGGAUAUUGGUCAAUGGGGGCAACCCUGAACCAGCGACGCCGCGUGAGUGAAGAAGUAUUUCGGUAUGUAAAGCUCUAUCAGCAGGGAAGAAAAAAUCAAAAUUGACAGUACCUGACUAAGAAGCCCCGGCUAACUACGUGCCAGCAGCCGCGGUAAUACGUAGGGGGCAAGCGUUAUCCGGAUUUACUGGGUGUAAAGGGAGCGUAGACGGUAUGGCAAGUCUGAUGUGAAAACCCAGGGCUCAACCCUGGGACUGCAUUGGAAACUGUCAAACUAGAGUGCAGGAGAGGUAAGUGGAAUUCCUAGUGUAGCGGUGAAAUGCGUAGAUAUUAGGAGGAACACCAGUGGCGAAGGCGGCUUACUGGACUGUAACUGACGUUGAGGCUCGAAAGCGUGGGGAGCAAACAGGAUUAGAUACCCUGGUA
rnacentral:rRNA from 1 species